rnacentral:tRNA from 1 species
GGGUCGGCCAGCGCGGCGGCCAGGUGCCGGAGGUUGUCGAUCUCCGCCUGGACGGCCUGCUGGUACUCGUUGGCGGUGCCGUCGUCGCCGGCCUUC